rnacentral:rRNA from 1 species
URURCUMACNUMCAGAUAACGGCGAGUGAAGCGGCAACAGCUCAAAUUUGAAAUCUGGCCCCCAGGGCCCGAGUUGUAAUUUGCAGAGGAUGCUUUUGGCGCGGUGCCUUCCGAGUUCCCUGGAACGGGACGCCAUAGAGGGUGAGAGCCCCGUCUGGUCGGACGCCUAGCCUGUGUAAAGCUCCUUCGACGAGUCGAGUAGUUUGGGAAUGCUGCUCUAAAUGGGAGGUAUAUGUCUUCUAAAGCUAAAUACCGGCCAGAGACCGAUAGCGCACAAGUAGAGUGAUCGAAAGAUGAAAAGCACUUUGAAAAGAGGGUUAAAUAGUACGUGAAAUUGUUGAAAGGGAAGCGCUUGUGACCAGACUUGGGCCCGGUGGAUCAUCCAGCGUUCUCGCUGGUGCACUCCGCCGGGUUCAGGCCAGCAUCAGUUCGCCGCGGGGGAAAAAGGCUUCGGGAACGUGGCUCCUACGGGAGUGUUAUAGCCCGUUGCAUAAUACCCUGGGGCGGACUGAGGUUCGCGCUCCGCAAGGAUGCUGGCGUAAUGGUCAUCAGCGACCCGUCUUGAAACACGGACCAAGGAGUCGUCUUCGUAUGCGAGUGUUCGGGUGUAAAACCCCUACGCGUAAUGAAAGUGAACGCAGGUGAGAGCUUCGGCGCAUCAUCGACCGAUCCUGAUGUUCUCGGAUGGAUUUGAGUAAGAGCAUACGGGGCCGGACCCGAAAGAAGGUGAACUAUGCCUGUAUAGGGUGAAGCCAGAGGAAACUCUGGUGGAGGCUCGCAGCGGUUCUGACGUGCAAAUCGAUCGUCA